CGGGGGCGGAAGUGCGUGCACCGGCCUCAUGGUCCCGCUCCCCCUUCCCGGCUGCCCCUGCGUUCUAUAGAGGCGAAGGUGGCGGCUAGAGCGACUCUUCAGCUCCGGCCGAGGUCUGGGUGUAGAGUGAGACCGGAAGCCAGUGGACGGUUUUAAUAACGGAGUGACCUUCUACAUUUUGGCUGUGGUAUGGAGAAUGAACUGUAGAUGGAAGAUAAUAGCUAACAUUUAUUAAGCACUUAUGUGCAGUAACACUUUAAAACAAAAUAUCUGAUAUAAUAAGUUGAAGAAACAGAUCUCUGCUGUCUUCUUGAAACUGAAAACAACUAAAACCAACAAGGACAACAGAAACAGAAAUGUAAACUCCAUCAUCAACAAACUACAUAACAUUUACAGAACUAAAAUGUAUGAAGAAGGGCUGCCUAGGGCAGUGAAAAUUACACUGACAAAGGUGAAUACAGACAGCACCUGCCACUGCAAAUUUUAAACACGGCUGUCAGAGCAGAGUUUUCCAGAGGAAACAGAGAGAGCACACUCUGAGGGAUAAUAAAACUAACCUCCCCAUAUUUAAACGAACAUGUGAGGACUGGCUCUGCAGAUCAUGUGACCCUAGUCAGUAGCAAGGGAAUGGCAAGGAAGAUGAGGCUGAACAAAGAAACUCAAAGAUACAUCAUCUUUGUAAGAAGACAUCAAUCAGUCUGGCAAGAUGACAAGCUGUUUUGCAAUGACCAAUCUUUUUCAGUUGAAGAAGACUAAAUCAACCCAAUCGCUUAUUUAUAUACACGUAUACUUCUUUAUCAGGUAGGGCUUUGUUGUGAGUCAGGGAGACUGCCCACCAGUCCAGGGUAUUCAUAGGACAACUCAAGAUACAUGCUUGCUAUCUUUCUUUUCUAGCUCUUCUACAAUAUCCUUCCAAAUUAGGUUUUCCAAGAAAACUCCCCUUAUUCAAAUAAAAUUAACAAGCAAAACAGACAAAAGCAUAGGACUGAUUUUAAAAAACAGUGCCAAAAAGAGUGGAAAGAAUACAGUAAACAUAAAAUAGAUAAAAUGAAGAACAUGCACAAGAGGAUUUUGCCAUAAAGCAAAUUCAAAUUGUGACCAAAUAUCUUUCCAAGAAAUAAAAUAAUUUGAUUAAAAAUAAAGGCUCCUAUGAAAUAAGAGCUCAGUGAGAUAUAAAGCCUCAAGGAAAUGACAUACAAAGGCUCAAAGAAGUAGACAACAGAAGAUGAAAAAUGGGAUUGCAGAGAUCAGGAAAGCAAUAAAAAAGAAAACAAAAACCACCACAGAAACAAAGGCUACAAAAAUAGUAGUAGUAGUAUUAGAAAGGAGAUUAGACACUAACCCUACUGGAUUAACCCAUAAAUGUGAAUAAAAGCAGGCUGGCUUCAGACUUUCACACUGCAACAUCCAAUCCUAGAAACAAUGGGGCAAUGUUAUAAAUUCCUCAGGAAAAGAACGGGAGAUCCAAGAAUUUUAUGCUGAGUCAAACUGUCCUCCCAGUAAAAAGGGAAUAAAUUUGAUCAAACACACGAGAAGAGAGCAUAUGGCUCCCAUGAGCUGUGCUUUAUCAGCUUCUCAUGAAGCCCAGUAAAAGAGGGUAAAAAUCAGUUCUGGAGUUUUAAGAUACUUUAAUCCAACCCAGAAGAAAUAAGUAAUUUCCCUAAAACCAUAAUGUUAAAAAUAGUUUUCCUGAUGUCAUGCUGGCCCUGUCCUCAAAAUCUUCAGUCGGUAACAAGAGACCAGAAGAUGGAUAUAGAGAGGAAAAUAAUGAAUUUAGUCUUAAAAUUGAGAGAGAAGGAAACAAGAAAUAUGUCAGAUGAACACAUAAGUAAAUACAUCUGUAAUAAACGUGUGCAUUUCUACAUAAAUCGCCCUACCUGAGAACAGCCUCAUCAAGCUCUUGUGGCCUGUUAGUUGCACCCAUUACAAGCACUCUGUCAUCUCCAGCAGAUUGUACCUAUAAGCCAAAUUUUUUUUUCAAUACUUUUAGAUAAAUAACAAAGAAAAACAUAAUAAAGAUAUCUACUUCUAAUUUGGGCCAUUCAAUAGGAAAACACAUACUACCACAUAAAUGCUACCACAUUAAAAAUACCAUAAUACUUACACCAUCAAAUUCUAUUAGAAAUUCAGUUUUUAGACGUCUACUAGCAUCAUGUUCUCCUUCUCUUCUUUCACACAAAAGGCUAUCAACUUCAUCUAGAGGAAAUAAAAGGAUCUCUAGUUUACUACUUAGGUUAUUAAUAUAAUGGGUCCUACUCAAUUUAUUAGACAGUCUUUAACUUUGCGCUUCUUUAAAACUUUACUUCUGCAGCUAUACUUCAAUAAAAAAUAAAUUAAAAAAACCUUUUUACUUCUGAAUAAUCUUUCCCAUCAUAUCCCUCACAUUUGGAAAAGGGAAUUUUACAAAUGCUCAACUAAGUUGUUGGAAAACAUGUUCUUACCUAUAAAAAUUAUAGAAGGUUGAAGUUCUCGAGCCACAGCAAAAAGAGCUCUCACCAAUUUCUCUCCUUCUCCCACCUAAAACAAGGCAUUAUACACUGUUAUACCCAUAAAAUGCAAGAUUAUUCCAGCUUUUUAAAUUUCACUAUUAAAAGUCUAGAACCUAGGAAUUUAAUUUCCUUUCUUUGCAACAACCAAAGAUUUGGUUUAAGGAAUGGGGGUAUGGGGGUGUUACUGAAUUGUCCCUUAUAAUUUUAGAAAAUAGACUACUUAUUUAUUAUUUAAGACGGUCUGGUGAGUACUUUAAAAAAUGAAAAAUAUCUCUGUCUUGUUUCACUCUGCAUUCCUAAGACUUGAGAAUGGAAUAGCUAUUGGGGUAUAACUACUGAGAAAGGGAAUACUAGAGAAGAGAGAGAUGCGGCAUGUAUUCUUAAGCCCUAGGUUGCAGGGUAUAUUUAUAGAAGCAGGUAAGUUGGAAAAUGCUCUCCUAAAUAAAACUUGCUCUACUGAGAACAUCGUGAAAACCCAUUCUCACAAUAUCACUGUCAAUAAAUAUCAACGUAUUUCUAGGUAGUCCAGGAGGUCUAUGAACACUCCUUAAGACAUUCCCAGGGGCUGAAAUACUAUACUAAAGCCAUUCUAUGCACCAAAGCAUCUAACGCAAGAAUCAUGAGGUUUGUGGUAA